rnacentral:lncRNA from 1 species
ACAAUUGCGACCGAAUCGGUCACAAAUUUGAAAUUUGAAGUUUCAAAUUUCAACGGCAGUUGCGACCGAUUUGGUCACUAAUUAUUAUUUUUAAUACACCCUUACUCGUUUUUCUUCAUUCUUCUUUAUUCUCCAACUUUUCCCCUCUUCUUCCCUCUCCUCUUAUGACCCCAAUCUGUUCUAUUUUUUAAUUUUAUCCUCUAAUCUAACCAUAUUAGAUAUGAUUUCCCUCUAUCUCACUCAUCCUCUCCCUCACCCUCUUCAUCUCCCCCAUUCAGCCACCCCCUGUCCACUCUUCCCCAAUUACUUUAUUCUUAAGUUGUUUAACUCCAUUUUGGUGCAGGAAUUCGGCGUCUCAUCUCCCCUCUGGUGAUAGUUCGGCAGCAAAUUGGUUUAUUUUUCAGAUUUUUUUUGCAAUAUAAUAUGUAUAUAGUAAUAUUAGAAAUGUACUUGUUUAGAUUAAUUAGCUGUUAUAUAAAUUCUAGUUUAAAAUUUUUGUAUAAUAAAUUUGUUUUUUAUGUUUAUAUUGUCAUAUUUAUUAUGUAUACUUUAUGUUUUCCAAAGAUGUUUAUAUCUAUUUGUAGUAGAUAUUGAAUUUUGGAUUGCUAUAUUAGGUUUUUGGUUAAUGGUUAGGUGCUUAUUUGACUAUUUUAUUUGACAAGUGGUGUAAUUAAAAAUACAGCAAGUUCCUGCUUAAAAGUGCCAAGAUUUAUGACUGAAUUUGACACAUA